UGCAAGUCGAACGUGAAAGCACUUCGGUGUGAGUAGAGUGGCGGACGGGUGAGUAACGCGUGGGAAUCUGCCCAGUAGUGGGGGACAACUACCGGAAACGGUAGCUAAUACCGCAUACGCCCUAUGGGGGAAAGGCUUCGGCCGCUACUGGAUGAGCCCGCGUCAGAUUAGCUAGUUGGUAGGGUAAAGGCCUACCAAGGCAACGAUCUGUAGCUGGUCUGAGAGGACGAACAGCCACACUGGGACUGAGACACGGCCCAGACUCCUACGGGAGGCAGCAGUGGGGAAUAUUGGACAAUGGGCGAAAGCCUGAUCCAGCAAUGCCGCGUGUGUGAAGAAGGCCUGCGGGUUGUAAAGCACUUUCAGUUGGGAAGAUGAUGACGUUACCAACAGAAGAAGCACCGGCUAAAUCCGUGCCAGCAGCCGCGGUAAUACGGAUGGUGCGAGCGUUAAUCGGAAUUACUGGGCGUAAAGCGCGCGUAGGCGGCUAAGUCAGUCAGAAGUGAAAGCCCCGGGCUCAACCUGGGAAUUGCUUUUGAUACUGCUUGGCUAGAGUUUGGUAGAGGAUAGUGGAAUUCCAGGUGUAGCGGUGAAAUGCGUAGAUAUCUGGAGGAACAUCAGUGGCGAAGGCGACUGUCUGGACCAAAACUGACGCUGAGGUGCGAAAGCGUGGGUAGCAAACAGGAUUAGAUACCCUGGUAGUCCACGCCGUAAACGAUGUCAACUAGCCGUCGGGUCUAUUUACAGACUUGGUGGCGCAGCUAACGCGAUAAGUUGACCGCCUGGGGAGUACGGCCGCAAGGUUAAAACUCAAAGGAAUUGACGGGGGCCCGCACAAGCGGUGGAGCAUGUGGUUUAAUUCGAUGCAACGCGAAGAA
rnacentral:rRNA from 1 species